GGGGGGAGGCCGGAUCCUGGGCUGUGCUCCUGGCCUGCGCUGUUGGAUUCGCGCUCCUGGCCGUGCAGGCCCCU
rnacentral:pre_miRNA from 1 species